AUUGAACGCUGGCGGCAUGCCUUACACAUGCAAGUCGAACGGUAACAGGGAGCUUGCUCCGCUGACGAGUGGCGAACGGGUGAGUAAUGUAUCGGAACGUACCUUUUAGUGGGGGAUAACGUAGCGAAAGUUACGCUAAUACCGCAUAUUCUCUGAGGAGGAAAGCAGGGGACCUUCGGGCCUUGCGCUAAUAGAGCGGCUGAUAUCAGAUUAGCUAGUUGGUGAGGUAAAGGCUCACCAAGGCGACGAUCUGUAGCGGGUCUGAGAGGAUGAUCCGCCACACUGGAACUGAGACACGGUCCAGACUCCUACGGGAGGCAGCAGUGGGGAAUGUUGGACAAUGGGGGCAACCCUGAUCCAGCCAUGCAGCGUGUGUGAAGAAGGCCUUAUGGUUGUAAAGCACUUUAAGCGAGGAGGAGGCUCUUUUGGUUAAUACCCAAGAUGAGUGGACGUUACUCGCAGAAUAAGCACCGGCUAACUCUGUGCCAGCCGCCGCAGUAA
rnacentral:rRNA from 1 species